rnacentral:rRNA from 1 species
UACGUAGGGUGCAAGCGUUGUCCGGAAUUAUUGGGCGUAAAGAGCUCGUAGGCGGUCUGUCGCGUCGGAUGUGAAAAUCCAGGGCUCAACCCUGGACCUGCAUUCGAUACGGGCAGACUAGAGUUCGGCAGGGGAGACUGGAAUUCCCGGUGUAGCGGUGAAAUGCGUAGAGAUCGGGAGGAACACCAGAGGCGAAGGCGGCGACCUGGACAGGUACUGACACUCAACUACGAAAGCGUGGGGAGCAAACAGG